UAGCUGUAGGGCACACCCAGACCGAGAGUCUGGUUGCUGCAGUAAGGUUUUUUAAAUAGAAACUAGCAUGGUCUCCACUGAGUUAAUUCCUGGAAUUGCAAAUGAAUACACAUUGGCAAAUACAUGGAUGACAUACUUUUCAUAACUCUGCUGUCCAUCUAUCCAGUAAGUCAUAUCAUCAUAGGUGAUCCCUUGUGACCGAGUAUAAUUGUCUUCCAGAAGUAGUCUUGGCAAUGCGUCCAUAAGUGACUGUAGAGAAGAGCUCACUAACUCAUGUGAUACCAACACUGAAACUGAGGACAGUCCUCAAGAUGAACAAAUACCUUCUCCUGGGCUUCUCUGUUCUACUCUUCUGUGCAACUGGUAAGAAGUAAAUGGUAAAGAAAAUGGAAAUAUUUGCAUGUUAUUUUGCAUGAAAGAGGAAAAAUAAAUAGAUGGGCAUCUGUUUGGAUAUGCCAGCCUAAAUAUUAAAGUUUUAGAAAACUGUUUUUUAUGUUGUAUCCACUUUAUCUCCAGACUUAGUGUCCACCCUGAGAUCUUCCCCUGUCUACAACUAACUCAGGUUUGCAGAUUUGAUC
rnacentral:lncRNA from 1 species